rnacentral:tRNA from 3 species
GGAGAGAUGACCGAGAGGCCGAAGGUGCUCCCCUGCUAAGGGAGUAUACGGGGAACCGUAUCGAGGGUUCGAAUCCCUCUCUCUCCG